GACGAACGCUGGCGGCGUGCUUAACACAUGCAAGUCGAACGGAAAGGCCCUGCUUUUGUGGGGUGCUCGAGUGGCGAACGGGUGAGUAACACGUGAGUAACCUGCCCUUGACUUUGGGAUAACUUCAGGAAACUGGGGCUAAUACCGGAUAGGAGCUCCUGCUGCAUGGUGGGGGUUGGAAAGUUUCGGCGGUUGGGGAUGGACUCGCGGCUUAUCAGCUUGUUGGUGGGGUAGUGGCUUACCAAGGCUUUGACGGGUAGCCGGCCUGAGAGGGUGACCGGCCACAUUGGGACUGAGAUACGGCCCAGACUCCUACGGGAGGCAGCAGUGGGGAAUAUUGCACAAUGGGCGGAAGCCUGAUGCAGCAACGCCGCGUGCGGGAUGACGGCCUUCGGGUUGUAAACCGCUUUCGCCUGUGACGAAGCGUGAGUGACGGUAAUGGGUAAAGAAGCACCGGCUAACUACGUGCCAGCAGCCGCGGUGAUACGUAGGGUGCGAGCGUUGUCCGGAUUUAUUGGGCGUAAAGGGCUCGUAGGUGGUUGAUCGCGUCGGAAGUGUAAUCUUGGGGCUUAACCCUGAGCGUGCUUUCGAUACGGGUUGACUUGAGGAAGGUAGGGGAGAAUGGAAUUCCUGGUGGAGCGGUGGAAUGCGCAGAUAUCAGGAGGAACACCAGUGGCGAAGGCGGUUCUCUGGGCCUUUCCUGACGCUGAGGAGCGAAAGCGUGGGGAGCGAACAGGCUUAGAUACCCUGGUAGUCCACGCUGUAAACGGUGGGUACUAGGUGUGGGGUCCAUUCCACGGGUUCCGUGCCGUAGCUAACGCUUUAAGUACCCCGCCUGGGGAGUACGGCCGCGAGGCUAAAACUCAAAGGAAUUGACGGGGCCCCGCACAAGCGGCGGAGCAUGCGGAUUAAUUCGAUGCAACGCGUAGAACCUUACCUGGGUUUGACAUGGAUCGGGAGCGCUCAGAGAUGGGUGUGCCUCUUUUGGGGUCGGUUCACAGGUGGUGCAUGGCUGUCGUCAGCUCGUGUCGUGAGAUGUUGGGUUAAGUCCCGCAACGAGCGCAACCCUUGUUCACUGUUGCCAGCACGUUAUGGUGGGGACUCAGUGGAGACCGCCGGGGUCAACUCGGAGGAAGGUGGGGAUGACGUCAAGUCAUCAUGCCCCUUAUGUCCAGGGCUUCACGCAUGCUACAAUGGCUGGUACAGAGAGUGGCGAGCCUGUGAGGGUGAGCGAAUCUCGGAAAGCCGGUCUCAGUUCGGAUUGGGGUCUGCAACUCGACCUCAUGAAGUCGGAGUCGCUAGUAAUCGCAGAUCAGCAACGCUGCGGUGAAUACGUUCCCGGG
rnacentral:rRNA from 1 species